GAUGAACGCUGGCGGCGUGCCUAAUACAUGCAAGUCGAGCGAACAGACGAGAAGCUUGCUUCUCUGAUGUUAGCGGCGGACGGGUGAGUAACACGUGGAUAACCUACCUAUAAGACUGGGAUAACUUCGGGAAACCGGAGCUAAUACCGGAUAACAUUUUGAACCGCAUGGUUCAAAAGUGAAAGACGGUCUUGCUGUCACUUAUAGAUGGAUCCGCGCUGCAUUAGCUAGUUGGUAAGGUAACGGCUUACCAAGGCAACGAUGCAUAGCCGACCUGAGAGGGUGAUCGGCCACACUGGAACUGAGACACGGUCCAGACUCCUACGGGAGGCAGCAGUAGGGAAUCUUCCGCAAUGGGCGAAAGCCUGACGGAGCAACGCCGCGUGAGUGAUGAAGGUCUUCGGAUCGUAAAACUCUGUUAUUAGGGAAGAACAUAUGUGUAAGUAACUGUGCACAUCUUGACGGUACCUAAUCAGAAAGCCACGGCUAACUACGUG
rnacentral:rRNA from 1 species